AUUGAACGCUGGCGGCAGGCCUAACACAUGCAAGUCGAACGAGUGGCGGACGGGUGAGUAAUGUCUGGGAAACUGCCCGAUGGAGGGGGCUAACUACUGGAAACGGUAGCUAAUACCGCAUACCAUCGGAUGUGCCCAUAUGGGAUUAGCUAGUAGGUGGGGUAACGGCUCACCUGGGCGACGAUCCCUAGCUGGUCUGAGAGGAGGACCAGCCAAACUGGAACUGAGACACGGUCCAGACUCCUACGGGAGGCAGCAGUGGGGAAUAUUGGACAAUGGGCGCAAGCCUGAUGCAGCCAUGCCGCGUGUAUGAAGAAGGCUUUCGGGUUGUAAAGGACUGUCAGCGGGGAGGCGUUACUCGCAGAAGAAGCACCGGCUAACUCCGUGCCAGCAGCCGCGGUAAUUC
rnacentral:rRNA from 1 species